AAAGGAGUGUGCUUGACAUGAUGUUGCUGUGACUUUGUGAAUAGAGUUAUGUAAAAAAAACUCAUGUGUAUGUAUUUAGGUAUGCAUAUUGGAUUUAUAUUCAUAAAGAGAGACUAUGUAGAGAGGUGAGAGAUAAAUCCUGAGGGACAACUGGUGGAUUUGUGAGGCAGCAGCUUGAAAACAAACCCCGAUCCACACACUAGGUGGUGCUGUUGUCAAACUAAUAAUGACUGAUGGAAAAAAAGUAAAAGCUUGAAAUGAUAAUGGAAAAUGUUAUGUUCGUGCUCGGUUUGCCAGCAGAAAAAUGAUCUGUCGUAGAAUAUUAUUUCUUCAAAACAGAUAUGAGUUCAAAUGCAAAUCGCGGUGACAGGUAGUGAUUCAGAGUAAACCUAAAUCUGUGUCGCUUGGCAAAGACGAAUUUGGAAAAGCGGCGACAAGGUUUGACACAUGAUGUCUACCAGACCGUGACGUUCAAUAAAUAUUCACAAGCUCUGAGUCAGUGUAGCAUUACUUUUCAUCCACCGCACUGUGAGAUAAUGAUGAUUCAUCAUGCACAAUGACAGCCGCCACCGGUACAGUCACUAUUCCUUCGCGGACUGACUCAUUUUCUCUAUGCGCUGUCCACCUACAGUGCAAAGCCAAACAUUGUCUGAGCUUUUCAAACACUGCAGCUUGAAUCCUUUCGUUUUUAUUUAUUUUUCAUUUUGACUCUUGUGGCUCCACCACAUCACGCACGGGGAAUGUAAAAUGACGACUCCCUAUAGCAUGUCUCAGCUCAUUGAAAGAAGAGAUUAGUGUGUAGCUGCACGGAGACUUGCUGUCCGCUGGCUUCCAGAGCACCAGGGCUGUGUUGUUGUAAGUCUGGGGGACUUCAGGUGUCCCCGGCCGCCUUGGGACACCUUCAAUAAGGAACUCCUCAUGACACCUUCACACAACCGUUGAGGAAAAACGACAGAGCAGUGACACGACUGCACAGCCCGAGUGCCUUGCAGGAGUUGGGGCCGGCCAGGUUCUUCGCCGUGCAGGUGUACACACCCGAGUGCUCGGGGCGGGCGUUGAGGACAACGAGGGAAUAUUCCGGGUCAUCGUACACAAAUGUGAAGUGGCUGCUUUCAGAGAGGAGCACAUCAUCCUGCAAAAGACCGACGGAUAAUUAAAAUGCUAAUUUCAAUGUCACAUUUUCCUCGAAAAAUAGAUAUUCUAGCAUUAGAAUAACAAAUGCUAAUUCUUAUACCUUAUACCACAGAAUAUCCGGGUCUGGUUUCCCUUCAACCACGACAGCCAGGCGGGACGUGUCCCCAACGUGCACAUCCACGUCCUCCAUGAUGGUUUCAAACAUAGGAGGCACUAUGGACGAAAAAUAUCAAAACUUUCAACAUUUAACACUGGAGGUUGACACAAAUGUAUUUCUAAAUGAAACAUGACAGACUGCAUAUGAGAAAUUGCUUGGUUUCUCUAUGCAGCUUCUGGCAAAUAAAGUAUUUGAUGUGGCGCUCAUGUUUUUAGAUUGAAUUUUAAACCGAAUUCAUAGUUUAUAUACCUUCAUCACAUCUGUAUCUAGUUUCUCUUCUUUGGGUCAUUAAAUUAAUGUAGGAGCCCUAUGAGGAUGCAGAUGUUUGUUUUUUAUAUUCAAAACUCCAGCAAGAAGGAGGCAAAAAAUAGAACAAAAAAUUGCUAAAGCUCAGUUUAAAUUAACAGCUGCUCUCCGUUGUACGGAUUAUACAUUUCUCUGUCUGGACUUAACUGACCUGCCAUGGCCAGCUGAAGCGUGCAGAGGUCACUGCCAAACUGGUUACUGGCUGUGACCAACAACUGGCCCACGUCUGUGCUCCUGACCCGCUGAAGCUUCAGGGUAUGCUGAUCGUCGUCCGGCAUGCUCAUCUCACACAUCCCCGGUCUGUUGACCAGCGCCACCCCCCUCCUGGGCAAGACCGCGGCAAUAUGUCACAGUGAAUGCACAGACCACAAAUCAACACCUUAACCCUCUCCCCCAAAGGUUUUUUUUUUUUUUUUUUUACUCCUGUGUGUUAUCAUGUAUAUAUGCAAGGAUCAGCUAAUCUCAAGGGAGUUUUUUCUCCUCCACAGUCGCCAAGUGCUUUCUCGUUGUGUGAACUGUUGGGUUUUCUCCUGUAAUAUUGGGAGGUCUCAAUCUUACUAUGUAAAGUGCCUUGAGAUAAUGUGUGUUAUGAUUUGGUGCUAUACAAAUAAAAUUGA